GGGUCCCUGGGAAGACUCCUACGAAUCCAUCAUUGAGAAUGGCAACCAGGGAAAGCAGCCAUUUUCUCCAGAAGAAAACUGUUCUGCCACAUUCUCUUAAAGUAUAUUCUCCUCCCAGGGCAAGCACAGAGCUCCCAUCAACACUAAUGCACACACAGAGAGGGAGAAGUAAAAGGAAAAAAUCUGAAUUUCAAAAAAAAUAUUACACAAUCCUGCUUAUGCAGGUGAACAUUACCGAUCAUUUUGGUCUCCGAUAUCACAAACCGUUAUGGUGAUUUCUCUCACAUCAUGCAAAUGGCUGCAUAAUGUCUACUCCUCUUGGAAUGUAAAAUCAAAUCAGCAUUCUAAUGAUACAAGCCCGUGAUGAGCUUGGAAAUAAAUAUGCAGAAGCGCAUAAAAAAAAAAAUCAAGGCAAUCAAGGAGAGCCAGCGUCCUAGCUUGGACUAUAAAUCUUUGUCUGUUUCAAUCGUAAAGCUGGCCGAAUCAGUGUAAAAUUCGAGCAGGGAUGUCAUCAAUUUCUGUUAACCUCUCUAUUCUUCUUUGUGUUGGCGGUGCAGUGAUGGAUUGGUUUUGUCACUUGUGCUCAGUUCACAGUAUGUUAACAUGGAAGGGUGCAGUCAGGUUAUGAAGAAGGGUUAUUACUGUCCCAGCUCUGACCUGGACUUACUAUCUUUUCUAGUAUCACAAAACCUUACUGUCUUUGGGAGCGAGAAGUAGCAUCCUUGGAGCUGCUUAAUGCUAAACAGGGCAGCCGCAGUUGUAUUCCUCCAGUUGCUUUGCUAUAGUUCUUUCCAGAUGUUUUGCUCCAGUGUAUAGGCCCAUUCUUUUCUACCAUUUUUUAAUUAAUCAAUUAAUGUAGGAGAUGCUUAUUAAUCCAGCUACCAGUGCAGGAAGAAAAGUAAUGAAUUACUGGAUUAAGAGGAAUCUAUGAUCUGCAAACACAAAAAGAUUCAUAAUUUUACAAUUUCUAAAUAACAAAGCGCUGGUAAUGAAACAGAGGUAGUAACAUAAACACAGUGGCAUGUAGCGAAUGCAUAAAUGUUUUAAGGAGCGGACCAAGAAUUCUUCUGUCAUGUUGUCUUGAUCAUUUGGUAAAGAUGUGAAUUUAAUGAGUUAGGGUGUUCUUCAGAUCAUUUACUGCUUCUCUAUGCUGUGUCAAUGUACUCAGUGCAAUCUGUAUUGCACAGCACUGAGACACCUGGUCCUACUUCAAAAACUUGCAAGCUCAACUUUAAGCAACUUCAGGCUCUAUUAAUGUCAAUGGAACUGCUUAAGUGCUUAAGUUAAGCAUGUUCCUAAAUGCUUUGUUGGAAGACUGUAAUAAAUUCUAAUUCAGAGCCCAAUGAAAUCUGUAGGAGUCUUUAUAUUGACUUCAACGGCAUUGUAUCAGGCUAAUAGAGCUCAACACCUUGCAGAACUGAGCCCUUAAACAGUUGGUUCAUUUCACCACAUAAGUGGUUGCUUUAGUGGUGGAUGAAGUGAUCCCUAUGUGUAGUAUCUAAUAUAGUGUGUUUCAGCUUGUUAAGUUAGUAAAGUGCUUUGGGAUCACUUGAGAUGAAUGGUACAAUCCAAAUGCAAGUUAUCACUACAGUGCCAGAAGUACUAUUUUUUGUGAGUGAAAAAUCACAUUAAAAUAGAUGCUUUAAAACAAAGGAAAUAGAACAUUAUAAAAAUUCUAUAUCUAUUUACUUCUGUAACAAAAAGCCAAGUGGAACAAAAUAACUCCUGCAAUAGGUAGUCUGGGUCAGCAGAAAAGCUGAACAAUUGUGGGUCAAUGGCAUUUUGUAAGUGAUGCUUUUGCUCUCGACAAAUUGGACCCAGGAUAUAGGAGUAAAUCUGGUCACAAAUGUCUGCCACUUCUCGGAGCUGUGUUGGCUGCUCAAAAGCAAUUAAGUGAAGUGGGUGCUCAAGUCCCAUUGAAUGUCCCAAUUAACAAUUAGCAAGACUUGUGCUCUUAAGGGUUUUUGGAGAUCUUACACAAUACGACAAUGACAAAGUCACAUGAAGGAGACUUUCUAUAUCCUUUCUAUAGGAGUUAUUUUUAAAGUCAUAUAAAAAAUUUCUGAAUUAAAUAUAGUAUAGAACCAAGAAAGAAGCAACUGUUACAUCAUAACUUUACUAUCCACCAUUGAGUUCAGGAAUGUAGAAGGAACCCAGUCAGGCAACAGGGUUGGCAAUCUAACCAAAUCCAAACUGAUAGAAGUUUCAUAAGCAACUUUUCCUUUAAAAGCUUAUUCCUACAUUAUGGCAUUUUUAAGAUGUCUCGGCAUACCAAAACACCGUAUAUUAAUUAGAAAACUGGAGGUAAGUUUGGCAUGAUAAAGUUUCUCUGUGUGGUCAGUGUA